rnacentral:lncRNA from 1 species
GCAUGGUAUGCUGGAGUCAAGUGCGCGACACAAUGAUUUAAAAUAAGUAAACACAAGGAAUGGCCAGGUUUAUAACGUGGAAGCAUGAUCCUAUGGUUCUGAAGAUGCACACAUGGUGCAGACGGUGGAAAACAUCUUCUUCUCCAGCGAACCAACAAUCUCCGGCCACCACGCGCAGGAAAAUAAAUUGCAAUGAAAAUGAAAAAUGAGGACAUCAAAAUGAAGCUUAGGUGAUGUACAUCACCACUGUAACCACGGAUCAUCC